AUGGUCAAUCUAGGACAAAUGCACAGAAAAGCAGAACCGUUCAAGACAUCGUUUGUGGUUGUGCGGCCAAAGAAAGAAAACACGAAGUCAGUAGCAUGCAACUGCCAAGCAUUGAUCAGACUACACCGUACAGCGGAUAAUGGAUGGUAUAUACACGAUUUCAGACCUGAACACAACCACCAUUUGUCAUCAUCGUGCGGCAAGAAACUACAUUGGCCAUCACACAGGCACAUUGACACACACACCAAAGAUAUAGUGAAGCACUUGAGGAGCAACAACAUUGGGAUAACCAAGGUUUUUUGUGUCAUCGCAAGCUUCUUUGGAUCAAUGGAGAGUGUACCAUUCAACAAAAUAUCUCUCAAGUAUAUGUGCAAGAGGAUGAACUAA
rnacentral:rRNA from 1 species